rnacentral:tRNA from 1 species
AGGGGGGUGGGCAAAAGGUGAGCCGCCUGUUUCGGGAACAGGAUAUCGAGCGAGUUCGAUUCUCGCCAUCCCUA